GAGGCCAUAGAAACAUUCUCUUUGGAAGCUCUAAGUAAAGAUCACUAAAGAGAAAAGCAAGCGGUAGUGGCCCAUGUUGACGACAUAACGGCUAUUUUCCCCCAUGUUGUUGUCAUCCUCUAGUCCAAAAAACACCAUUCCUCGAUCGCCAUCACAUCAAAACUUAUAGUUGGGAAAAAGGGGAGCAUGGGUUCUCUGCUAUGCACUGCAUCAUGCGGUGCAUAGCGCACCGUCCAUCACAUGAUGGACGGCCACAUGUGAAUGCACGCUCGUGACGUGUGGCUGCGCGCAGCCAUCCAUCGCGUGAUACAUAGAGUGCGCUAUGCACCGCACGGUGCGGUGCACAGCAGAGGAUCCACACGGGAAAAAGGGACAUGUGAAAGCCAAGCACAAAAUCAUUCUCGAAUUGGGCAUAAACUGCAGGUGAAUU
rnacentral:lncRNA from 1 species